UGUGCCUAUGGCAUCUUGCACUCUCGACGGUGUUUCGAUUUUAUUUUCAUCAGUCGAGACUCAGAUAACUCAAGCCCUAUUUGUAACAACACCUCCCUCCGAAGAAUAUUCAGAGGCGUGUAGCUAUCCUACAGUCGAGGAGGUGAUGGUUAUCGAAUCCUACUUGGAGGACUAUAGGAUCGAUAAGUCCAAUCCCCAUUAUUCCACCUCGGGGG
rnacentral:lncRNA from 1 species